AUGGUGGGCUGGGACUUCCUUGAAGACACUUUUCCCCUCAUCUUUUAGAGCAUUGCACUACCAGAAGAUCAUCCACCGUGACAUCAAACCUUCCAACCUCCUGGUCGGAGAAGAUGGGCACAUCAAGAUCGCUGACUUUGGUGUGAGCAAUGAAUUCAAGGGCAGUGACGCGCUCCUCUCCAACACCGUGGGCACGCCCGCCUUCAUGGCGCCCGAGUCGCUCUCCGAG
rnacentral:lncRNA from 1 species